rfam:Triticum aestivum genome assembly, contig: Triticum_aestivum_CS42_TGACv1_scaffold_457578_5DS
AUAUCACUCCCUCCAUCCCGAAAUAUUUGCCAUCAAAAUGGAUAAAAUCAGAUGUAUCUAGAACUAAAAUACGUCUAGAUACAUCUUCUUUUAUUCAUUGUGAUGACAAGUAUUUCUGGACAAAAAAAGUACUAC